CUCUAGAUGUUGCUGAACUACAACUCCCAUCAGCCCCAGGAAACGUGGCUUAUGGCUUGGGAUGAUGGGAGUUGCAGUUCAGCAAUAUCUGGAG